rnacentral:misc_RNA from 1 species
GAUGAAGAACGUAGCAAAAUGCGAUACUUGGUGUGAAUUGCAGAAUCCCGUGAACCAUCGAGUUUUUGAACGCAAGUUGCGCCCGAAGCCUUUUGGCCGAGGGCACGUCUGCCUGGGCGUCACGCAUCGCGUCGCCCCCCACAAUUCUCCGUAAAAGGAACAUGUGUUUUGGGGGCGGAUAUUGGUCUCCCGUGCUCAUGGCGUGGUUGGCCGAAAUAGGAGUCCUUUCGAUGGACGCACGAACUAGUGGUGGUCGUAAAAACCCUCGUCUUUUGUUUCGUGCUGUUGCUCGCAAGGUAAACUCUUUAAAAACCCCAAUGUGUCGUCUCUUGACGACGCUUCGACCGCGACCCCAGGUCAGGCGGGACUACCCGCUGAGUUUAAGAAUAUCAAUAAGCGGAGGA